rnacentral:rRNA from 1 species
AUGGAGUUCUUCACCAAGGAGCAGGAGGGCGCCAUUCAUCUCCUCGCCUCCCUCCAGCAACUCCAAUUUUGGAACUUCGGCAAGCAUCAGACCCUCCCUGCAGGGUUGCACAAGCUUACCGGGCUCAAGCAAUUACAAGUCUGGUCAUGCCCGGCCACCCGGUCUCUGCCCAAAGAUAGCCUCCCUGAAUCACUAAAAGAAUUAGAUGUCUCCGCCUGCCGCAAUGAGGAGCUAAAACAGCAAUGCAGCAGGUUAGUGGGGACCAUUCCGACUAUCAGAACAGGCCGCUGA